GUAUAUUAUCAUUGCAUUUCAUGACAUAAUUUUCAUCAACUGACAAAUAGUCUGCAUUAGGACAUAAGAAGUUUAUGUGGCUUACCACGACUUCCUUCAGAAAAACACACAAGUCUAAUCUUUGGAAGUAAUAAACGAAUAGUUGGCUUGCGGUCAUCCAACGCCGUUUAUUAGCUUCACCCCGUUGUCUGUCCGACUCGGGUAACCGUCACUUCUAUACCAAUUCUAGUCACCCUAGGAUAGAGCAAAACCAAAUCCGAAUUUAAGUAUCAGCCUAAG
rnacentral:misc_RNA from 1 species